UAUCUUGGAUCACAGCCCCAUU
rnacentral:miRNA from 1 species